GUGCUUGCUUCGGCAGUACAUAUAUUAAAAUUGGAACGAUACAGAGAAGAUUAGCAUGGCCCCUGUGUAAGGAUGACGCCCAGAUUCAUGAAGCGUUCCAUAUUCUU
ensembl:snRNA U6 U6 spliceosomal RNA